rnacentral:lncRNA from 1 species
CAAGGAGCCGGUAGCAAAUCUGGAUCAUGCCGGUUGGAUGGGGUUGGACCAGAGGCGUGGCUGGAGGUGGCUGCCCGUUAUUCUGAAUUUCUGGGGAGUCUUGCCUGAGGCCCGCUCUGGUUUGGUGGCUCUGUCUAAGGAGAUUCUCCACUCCCAGAGCACCACCCAGUGCUGCCUGUCUUCAUGGAUCAUACAGUCUGCUAGCAGAGAAUGGAAGAUUGCACUUUCCAAUCGACAUACGCCAUCCCACAUGCCCGUCUUCCAGGUAGCCAUUGACUCGUCUCUACUGAAGUGUCUACAUUUCCUCCCGGGGCAUCGGAGGGCCUGUGAUUAUGGCAGGAGUGAUGCUGUGCCACAUUUGAGGUGGAGCCAUAAAACGCACUCGAGUUCCUGCCUCGCCUUGGGGUGCUCUCUCAGAAUCUGCAGCCAUACUGGGAAGGACCCUGAAGCCACGUGUAGGGGUGACGACCCCAGUCCCAGCCGAUGGCCCUUGUGAACUCCCAGACAUGAGAGGGGCCGUCGGAUGAGCCAGCCCUGGCCUUCCAGCUGCCCUGGCUGACGUGGGAUGGAGCAGAGAUGAGCUGUCCCUGCCAUGCCUGCUGAAAUCACAGAUUGAUGAGCAAAAUAAAUGUCACU